rnacentral:lncRNA from 1 species
AGGGACCACCACACUGCUAUGAGUCAGGCAUGUGCGUUGUUUAAGGCUAAGAAAUGGCAUUUCAAAAGGCAGUGAAAGGGACGAUUCUUGUUGGAGGAGGUGCUCUUGCAACUGUUUUAGGACUUUCUCAGUUUGCUCAUUACAGAAGGAAACAAAAUAUAGUUUUGUCAGGAGAACUGAGGAAUGAAGAAUGUAUACUUCUGAGAAAGUGUGGAAAGACAUGAAGUCCUUUUUCCUCCUCCUUCACCACUUUAAUAUGUCAUCUGAAUGAAUUGCUAGUACUGGAUGAACCUGGCCUAUGUUAAAGCAGCAGACUGCAUUUCAGAACCAGUUAACAGGGAGCCUCCUUCCAGAGAAGCUCAGCUACUGACUUUGCAAAACACAUCUGAAUUUGAUAUCCUUGUUAUUGGAGGAGGAGCAACAGGAAGUGGCUGUGCGCUAGAUGCUGUCACCAGAGGACUAAAAACAGCCCUUGUAGAAAGAGAUGAUUUCUCAU